rnacentral:rRNA from 1 species
GACGAACGCUGGCGGCGUGCUUAACACAUGCAAGUCGAACGGAAAGGCCCUGCUUUUGUGGGGUGCUCGAGUGGCGAACGGGUGAGUAACACGUGAGUAACCUGCCCUUGACUUUGGGAUAACUUCAGGAAACUGGGGCUAAUACCGGAUAGGAGCUCCUGCUGCAUGGUGGGGGUUGGAAAGUUUCGGCGGUUGGGGAUGGACUCGCGGCUUAUCAGCUUGUUGGUGGGGUAGUGGCUUACCAAGGCUUCGACGGGUAGCCGGCCUGAGAGGGUGACCGGCCACAUUGGGACUGAGAUACGGCCCAGACUCCUACGGGAGGCAGCAGUGGGGAAUAUUGCACAAUGGGCGGAAGCCUGAUGCAGCAACGCCGCGUUCGGGAUGACGGCCUUCGGGUUGUAAACCGCUUUCGCCUGUGACGAAGCGUGAGUGACGGUAAUGGGUAAAGAAGCACCGGCUAACUACGUG